UACGUAGGAUGCAAGCGUUGUCCGGAAUUAUUGGGCGUAAAGAGCGCGCGGGCGGUCUAUCAAGUCAGAUGUGAAAUAUCCGGGCUUAACCCGGAGGGGUCAUUUGAAACUGGUAGACCAGAGUACAGCAGAGGAUAGCGGAAUUCCCGGUGUAGUGGUGAAAUGCGUAGAUAUCGGGAGGAACACCAGUGGCGAAGGCGGCUAUCUGGGCUGAAACUGACGCUGAGGCGCGAAGGCUAGGGGAGCAAACAGG
rnacentral:rRNA from 1 species